CUCCUACGGGAGGCAGCAGUGGGGGAUAUUGCACAAUGGGGGAAACCCUGAUGCAGCGACGCCGCGUGGGCGAAGAAGUAUUUCGGUAUGUAAAGCCCUAUCAGCAGGGAAGAAGAAAUGACGGUACCUGACUAAGAAGCCCCGGCUAACUACGUGCCAGCAGCCGCGGUAAUACGUAGGGGGCGAGCGUUAUCCGGAUUCACUGGGUGCAAAGGGAGCGUAGACGGCCAAGCAAGCCAGGGGUGAAAGCCCGGGGCCCAACCCCGGGACUGCCCUUGGAACUGCUUGGCUGGAGUGCGGGAGGG
rnacentral:rRNA from 1 species